UUCGGGUUGUAAACCUCUUUCNNNAUCNNNNANNNUCCGGGUUUUNUCNNNUUGACNGUANNUGGAGAAGAAGCACCGGCCAACUACGUGCCAGCAGCCGCGGUAAUACGUAGGGUGCGAGCGUUGUCCGGAAUUACUGGGCGUAAAGANCUCGUAGGUGGUUUGUCGCGUUGUUCGUGAAAUCUCANNGCUUAACUGUGAGCGUGCGGGCGAUACGGGCAGACUAGAGUACUGCANGGGAGACUGGAAUUCCUGGUGUAGCGGUGGAAUGCGCAGAUAUCAGGAGNAACACCGGUGGCGAAGGCGGGUCUCUGGGCAGUAACUGACGCUGAGGAGCGAAAGCGUGGGGAGCGAACAGGAUUAGAUNCCCUGGUAGUCCACGCCGUAAACGGUGGGUACUAGGUGUGGGUUUCCUUCCUUGGGAUCCGUGCCGUANCUAACGCAUUAAGUACCCCGCCUGGGGAGUACGGCCGCAAGGCUAAAACUCAAAGGAAUUNACGGGGGCCCGCACAA
rnacentral:rRNA from 1 species